GGAGAGGUGGCCGAGUGGUCGAAGGCGCUCCCCUGCUAAGGGAGUAGAGGUCAAAAGCUUCUCGAGGGUUCGAAUCCCUUCCUCUCCG
rnacentral:tRNA from 1 species